rnacentral:lncRNA from 1 species
GGCGGAGGUUGCAGUGAGCCGACAUCACCCCACUGCACUCCAGCCUGGUGACAGAGCAAGACUCCAUCUCAGAAAAAAGAAAAGAAAAGAAAAGAAAUAUCUGAGACUGGAUUGGUCAGGACAAUUGUGUAAGUGUCUGAAGAACCAUCUGGGGCUCCUUCAACAACUCAACAAGAGCUGGGUUCCUAUGAGGUCAUGGAGACCAGGAGAGCAUACAGUUUGUAUCUGCCAUUGAGGAGCCACUAUUCUUGGGCAGACUCCUUCGUGAAGAGCAGGAGGGGCCAGAAUUGAAUGCUUUCUUAGGACAUUUCACCACUGCUAUCCAUCCAUGCAAAUGUGGUUAUAUGGAAGUUAUUUUGUGUUAAAGAGAAGAUUGGGAGCAUUGGAAAAGGUUUUUUGCAUGUCUGACACCAAUGGCUCCACCUGGACCCGAUGGCUCCGCCUGGACCUGCCAAACUCCUCCUAUGGUUCCACCCAGGAACAACUCAGCUCAAGAAGA